UGGGGAAUAUUGGACAAUGGGCGCAAGCCUGAUCCAGCCAUGCCGCGUGAGUGAUGAAGGCCUUAGGGUUGUAAAGCUCUUUCGCCGGUGAAGAUAAUGACGGUAACCGGAGAAGAAGCCCCGGCUAACUUCGUGCCAGCAGCCGCGGUAAUACGAAGGGGGCUAGCGUUGCUCGGAAUCACUGGGCGUAAAGCGCACGUAGGCGGAUCGUUAAGUCAGGGGUGAAAUCCUGGAGCUCAACUCCAGAACUGCCCUUGAUACUGGCGAUCUCGAGUUCGAGAGAGGUUGGUGGAACUCCGAGUGUAGAGGUGAAAUUCGUAGAUAUUCGGAAGAACACCAGUGGCGAAGGCGGCCAACUGGCUCGAUACUGACGCUGAGGUGCGAAAAGCGUGGGGAGCAAAACAGGAUUAGAUACCCUGGUAGUCCACGCCGUAAACGAAUGGAUGCUAGCCGUUGGGGGGUUUACCUCUCAGUGGCGCAGCUAACGCCUUAAGCAUCCCGCCUGGGGGAGUACGGUCGCAAGAUUAAAAACUCAAAUGAAUUGACGGGGUCAUAGCUGUUUCCU
rnacentral:rRNA from 1 species